UACGGAGGGUGCAAGCGUUAUCCGGAUUCACUGGGUUUAAAGGGUGCGUAGGCGGACAGGUAAGUCAGUGGUGAAAUCUCCGAGCUUAACUCGGAACUGCCUUUGAUACUCUCUGUCUUGAAUAUGGUGGAGGUAAGCGGAAUAUGUCAUGUAGCGGUGAAAUGCUUAGAGAUGACAUAGAACACCUAUUGCGAAGGCAGCUUACUACGCCUAUAUUGACGCUGAGGCACGAAAGCGUGGGGAUCAAACAGG
rnacentral:rRNA from 1 species